AGAGUUUGAUCAUGGCUCAGGAUGAACGCUAGCGGCAGGCUUAACACAUGCAAGUCGAGGGGUAUUGGGAGCUUGCUUCCAAGAGACCGGCGCACGGGUGCGUAACGCGUAUGAAUCUGCCUUUCACAAAGGGAUAGCCCAGAGAAAUUUGGAUUAAUACCUUAUAGUAUAUUGAUGUGGCAUCACAUUAUUAUUAAAGAUUUAUCGGUGAAAGAUGAACAUGCGUCCCAUUAGCUAGUUGGUAAGGUAACGGCUUACCAAGGCAACGAUGGGUAGGGGUCCUGAGAGGGAGAUCCCCCACACUGGUACUGAGACACGGACCAGACUCCUACGGGAGGCAGCAGUGAGGAAUAUUGGACAAUGGGCGCAAGCCUGAUCCAGCCAUGCCGCGUGCAGGAUGACGGUCCUAUGGAUUGUAAACUGCUUUUAUACGGGAAGAAACCCUGGAACGUGUUCCAGACUGACGGUACCGUAAGAAUAAGGAUCGGCUACUCCGUGCCAGCAGCCGCGGUAAUACGGAGGAUCCAAGCGUUAUCCGGAAUCAUUGGGUUUAAAGGGUCCGUAGGCGGCCUUAUAAGUCAGUGGUGAAAUCUCCCGGCUCAACCGGGAAAUUGCCAUUGAUACUGUAGGGCUUGAAUUAUUGGGAAGUAACUAGAAUAUGUAGUGUAGCGGUGAAAUGCUUAGAUAUUACAUGGAAUACCAAUUGCGAAGGCAGGUUACUACCAAUGGAUUGACGCUGAUGGACGAAAGCGUGGGUAGCGAACAGGAUUAGAUACCCUAGUAGUCC
rnacentral:rRNA from 1 species